rnacentral:rRNA from 1 species
GUCUACGACCAUAUCACGUUGAAAACACCGGUUCUCGCCCGAUCACCGAAGUUAAGCAACGUCGAGCCCGGUUAGUACUUGGAUGG